ACGGGUGAGUAACACGUGGGCAGCCUGCCCUUGAGACUGGGAUAACUUCGGGAAACCGGAGCUAAUACCGGAUAAUAUAAGGAACCUCCUGGUUCCUUGUUGAAAGAUGGUUUCGGCUAUCACUUAAGGAUGGGCCCGCGGCGCAUUAGCUAGUUGGUGAGGUAACGGCUCACCAAGGCGACGAUGCGUAGCCGACCUGAGAGGGUGAUCGGCCACACUGGGACUGAGACACGGCCCAGACUCCUACGGGAGGCAGCAGUAGGGAAUCUUCCACAAUGGACGAAAGUCUGAUGGAGCAACGCCGCGUGAGUGAUGAAGGCCUUCGGGUCGUAAAGCUCUGUUGUUUGGGAAGAACAAGUGCGAGAGUAACUGCUCGUACCUUGACGGUACCUAACCAGAAAGCCACGGCUAACUACGUGCCAGCAGCCGCGGUAAUACGUAGGUGGCAAGCGUUAUCCGGAAUUAUUGGGCGUAAAGCGCGCGCAGGUGGUUUCUUAAGUCUGAUGUGAAAGCCCACGGCUCAACCGUGGAGGGUCAUUGGAAACUGGGGAACUUGAGUGCAGAAGAGAAAAGUGGAAUUCC
rnacentral:rRNA from 1 species